rnacentral:lncRNA from 1 species
UAUUUUACUAUUUUUACAGAUGUUGAAGAAUUAAGAUGAUAUAAGAUAUGAAUGGAAGAGUGAUCAGAAGCAGAAUCUUCAUACUUUUAUUUUAGGUUGAAAGGCUUAUUGAAUUUGAUGCAAAGCCUUUGAAUCGUUGUUGAAUUUAUUGAGAUAUUAAAGAAAAAAUUUAGGUUGUUAUAUUUUAGAUUUAAAUUGUUGACUAAGUAUUCCGCUG